GAGAAUUAAGUUGCCUAAAAAGGAUUCAACUGCCGUGAUCACUACCUUUUAUUUGAUUUCUGAUACCGGGACUACUCGAGAUGAAAUUGACUUUGAAUUUUUAGGUGGCAAUCUUAAUCAACCUCCUAUAUUGCACACAAACAUUUAUAUUAAUGGGCAAGAUUUUCAUGAUUACACACUUCUUUUGAAUGAAAAACACAUAGUAUUUUUUGUGGAUGGCACACCUAUAAGAGUGUUCAAGAAUAGCAAAGAUAAAGGAGGAAGUUAUCGAACACAAGCAAUGAAGGUUUAUGCAACAAU